ensembl:lncRNA
AGGUCGAUCCAGUCUGAGAGUCACAGUCCGGGCUCCUCCACAAAUCAUGGAGUCAACCAGGAUGAAACUCAUGAAUACAACUCUCUUCAUCCUGGUACCAAUCACAUCUAUGACUCAGUUACGCUGGUUGAAGACAACAGAAAUGGAUCAGAUGAACAUCAAGAUGUCACAUACGCUCUUACUGAAUUUAAAAACUUUGGAAAGAAGCGGAAGCAUCAUAAACCAGAGCAGAGUGCUGUUUACUCUGAGGUGAAGACGGGAGCUGCAGAGUUGGAAGACUUUGUACUGGGUUACUGCUUCCUCAUUUGGACUUUCAGGCACAGGAUGGAGAGGAGUGCAGCACUGAUUACCCCUCUCCUCACCUCAACACUAUAUCUGAAAUCAGCAAUAGCACAGAGUAGAUUAGUUAUAUUUGGAUAAAAUUCAGAGGACAGUCUGAUGUAUGCUGAGGUCAAACGCCCCAAAAAAGAAAAAGCCAAGAAAAAAGCAGGAAAAUCAAGUCCUGCAGCAGAUGCAGCAGUUUAUUCUGAAGUCACAUUAGGAAGCUUUCCUGGUCAGUGAGGAGAGCUGCAGCAGCAAAGCCAAGAAGAAGCAUUUUAUGAAUCCACUGUUGCUCCUCUGCUGCCCAAAUAUCAGACACACUCAGUUUUUAGUGUUUAUGAAGAUGAUAUUGAAUAAUAAUAUGAUAUAGAGUUGGUACUGUGUCUUAGCAUAAAGCACACAGAGAUGUGUCCUGUUUCAGAUCCUUGCUCUUUAUAUUCAGCUGAUAUUUUUAUUCAUUUUUAAGCUUUAAUAUAAAAUUUUGAAUGUAUCCUCUGCCAACAGCAAGUGCAAUAGCAAUAAUAACUAUGAGGUGUAGCUCUGGGGCCGUUCUUCGUACCUCGCUUACUACAUCCAAGAUCAAAUGACACAUCCAAGAUCAAAUCAUCGCGCUAACUUUGAGCUCGCUAAUCCGGUUCUCCGAACACACCUGUUGUUGACGAUUAGUAUAGCUGGAUGAAGUAAUCUGAGAUCACUGGGUGGCUUAAAAGGGGCUACGCAUGGAUAGUAGAAACAUUGAUCGGCAACCCUGUGAUUGGUCGGCGAAGAUGUCGAAGGAGCGCGCUCAGUAUUUUACGGCAGCAGAGCAAGAACUCUUGAUUGAGGGAUAUCAGGAGUUUCAGAGUUUAAUUAAAACGCAGGGGAACACUGCAAAGGCUGCAAAAGCAAGGAGAGAGGGCUGGCAGAAAGUUGCUGACAAAUUAAACUCGUAAGUGAUCCAUGAUAUUACAUUAUAUCAUGUGAUAUUAUAUUAUACCACAUUAUAUUAUAUUACAUCAUAUCCUCUUCCACAUUAGAGCCACAACAGGACCCACUAGAACAUGGGAACAAGUAAAAGUGAAAUAUAAGAAUAUUCUACAGAAUGGUAAUAUUUAUCACUUAUAUUGCUUUUAGUCUCCUGAAAAGAGACCCGGAAAUAAUCUGUUUGUUUGUUUAUAACAGCAACCAAGAAAAGGGCAGAGCAAAUAAAGACAGGUGGUGGUCCUGCACCCCCUCGUCACACCCCGGCUUUUUGUACUGUGACAUUUAUUGACAUUGUGGGGUUUUUUGUGUGUAGUUUUACAUAACACUCCAUCACUUCUACCUGUUCCCAUGCAAGGGGUGACUGAAGCAUGCACAGUAAGUUGAGAUAUAUAUAUAUAUAUAUCCUGUCUAUCCCGCAAUAUACGCUGAAUUCUGAAAACUCUCCUUAUCAAUCUUGCACCUUCCACAAUGGGUUGCUCGCGUACAAACGAACAGGACAUGGCUGCGACAGACUUCCCUAAUCCACCUUCGCUUUUAUAGCCGUGGUCUCUCAUCUUGAUUGCACGUAGUAAUUUACUUACACUACCCUAAAAUAUGAAUUGCAUCUGACAUGAUCUACUACAUGACAUAGAAUGAUUAAGAGUACAUUUCCCUUUUUUUCGGAAAUGACCUGUAUGUAUCUGUAUGAAAUCAAUAAAAGCAUCAAAUGCUGCAUUAUAUUUAGUUACAUUGAUGAUAUUUAUUUAUGGUAAAACAGUGGCGAAAUAUCGCUGUUGCUUUCAUAUAACUGCAGCGGACAUACCUGAGUGGCCGCGAUCUAAUCCUGUUUACAUAAAGUAAACCUGCUCCCGAGCAGGUUUACGCUUACGGAUCUGUUGCUAUGACAGCAAGUCCCAGAUGAGCUUCGGAGAACCGAACGAUCCAAGAUCACGCGAAAUCGUCAACAAUCAAAUCCGGCUAACUUACUUAGCGAGGUACGAAGAACGGGCCCCUGCUUUCUUUGUCUGUUUGUUUUUAAAAUAUUAUUACUCUUCAAUCCAGAAGCAGUGUACACCUGGACAAGUCACAAUUGUGUCAUAUGACUAUCAGACAGAGACACACAAGCGUUCAGGCUCACAUUCACACCUACGACCACUUUAGAAUUACCAGUUAAUCUAACAUGCAGGUCCUGGGCUGUGGGAGGCAGCUGGAGUUCCCGGAGAGGGGCCACGCAGACCCGGGGAAAACCCAGUCAGGACCUUGCUGCGAGGAGACAGUGCUAACCAGCACACUGCUGCCACCUGCUGGUUUCUUAUUGCAUUACUCUGGAACAGUAAUCCCAGGAAUGCAUGUGUGCAGUUUAUCCAUACACAUUUUUUUGUGCACUAAAUGUUACCUGUAAAUAAUCCCUCAAC